UACGUAGGGGGCAAGCGUUGUCCGGAAUUACUGGGCGUAAAGAGCUCGUAGGUGGUUUGUCGCGUUGUUCGUGAAAACUCACAGCUCAACUGUGGGCGUGCGGGCGAUACGGGCGGACUAGAGUUCGGUAGGGGAGACUGGAAUUCCUGGUGUAGCGGUGAAAUGCGCAGAUAUCAGGAGGAACACCGGUGGCGAAGGCGGCCUGCUGGGCAGUAGCUGACGCUGAUGCGCGACAGCGUGGGGAGCAAACGGG
rnacentral:rRNA from 1 species